CCUACGGGAGGCAGCAGUGGGGAAUUUUGGACAAUGGGCGCAAGCCUGAUCCAGCCAUGCCGCGUGCAGGAUGAAGGCCUUCGGGUUGUAAACUGCUUUUGUACGGAACGAAAAGGUCUUUUUAAUAAAGAGGGCCCAUGACGGUACCGUAAGAAUAAGCACCGGCUAACUACGUGCCAGCAGCCGCGGUAAUACGUAGGGUGCAAGCGUUAAUCGGAAUUACUGGGCGUAAAGCGUGCGCAGGCGGUAAUGUAAGACAGAUGUGAAAUCCCCGGGCUCAACCUGGGAACUGCAUUUGUGACUGCAUUGCUGGAGUGCGGCAGAGGGGGAUGGAAUUCCGCGUGUAGCAGUGAAAUGCGUAGAUAUGCGGAGGAACACCGAUGGCGAAGGCAAUCCCCUGGGCCUGCACUGACGCUCAUGCACGAAAGCGUGGGGAGCAAACAGGAUUAGAUACCCUGGUAGUCCACGCCCUAAACGAUGUCAACUGGUUGUUGGGUCUUCAUUGACUCAGUAACGAAGCUAACGCGUGAAGUUGACCGCCUGGGGAGUACGGCCGCAAGGUUGAAACUCAAAGGAAAUUGACGGCGNGAGACGUAGCGACGGACGACGACGAGGGGAGGAGG
rnacentral:rRNA from 1 species